AUUCCCUGAGCUGAGAAGCUGAGAUACAGACGCACUUACGGGUGCCUCGAUGGCAGAUGAUAACCUUCUGGGCCUGGUUACCGGGGCUGUCCUCUCCGAGGUGCCGGCUGCCACCUGGGCCCCCGCAACCACCUGUGCCACUCCCGCGCAGCGGCAGGUCGGCUUGCACCAGCUCGCUGAGGAAGUUAAUGUAGCCUAUGGCCAAGCGCAGCGUGUCUACUUUGGAGAGGCGCUUUUCGUAGGGCAGCGUAGGGAUGUGCGAACGCAGCCCCUCGAAGGCGUCGUUGAUGGACUGCAUGCGGCGCCGCUCUCGCACAUUAGCGGCUUGUCGCAGCUGCUGCAGCUCCGCCUCGGAGCGCACGCGUCGCCGCCGCCUUGCUGCCGCCGCUGCCGCAGCCCCGUUCAAACCACCGAGCCGCGCACCGGGGGACAGCACCGCGGCACAAGGCUCGUCGCUGUCCUCCAGCGGGUCCCGAGAGGACUGGUCGGUGAAGAAAUCUUCCUCAUCAAAGUAAGGGGAUGGGAAGGUGUCCAGGCCCCCGGGGAAGUGCUCCAGGAGUACGGCGUCCAUGCCCUCGGCCGCCGAGGCCCGGAAGGACGAAUGGGCUGCUCGGGGUGACGCUUUGUGAGUGAUCCGUGGCAAUUCGGGUAUCAUCUCCUGAGCAUACUUAUGUCUUCAGAAGCCAUGAUGAUGUGCCUUGGUCUCUGAGAACUCCUGACUCACUCUUCUCUCCAAUAGCUAUGGCCACAUGAGAGUGGGUCUUCUAUCCACGGCCGUGAGCCCAGUGAGAGGAAUCAGAAUUCAACAACAAGCCUGGUUUAACUACACAUCACAGGAGUGUUCCAUAUAUUGCUCUGCCUUUUCUUCACUUCUGUCAUUUUGCACUAAUUUUUACAUAGAUGAGCUCAUUUGGUCC
rnacentral:lncRNA from 1 species